rnacentral:rRNA from 1 species
UUUAUGGAGAGUUUGAUCCUGGCUCAGAGUGAACGCUGGCGGCGUGCCUAACACAUGCAAGUCGUGCGGGGUUUUACAAAGGUAUCGUAAAAUCUAGCGGCAAACGGGUGAGUAACGCGUAGGGAACCUUCCUUAAAAUGGGGGAUAUCUUCGAGAAAUCGAAGUCAAUACCGCAUAAGACCACAGUUUGGAAUCAUACAGAGGUAAAAGCAGUAAUGCGUUUUAAGACGGCCCUGCGUCCUAUCAGCUAGUUGGUAGGGUAAUUGCCUACCAAGGCUAUGACGGGUAUCCGGCCUGAAAGGGUGAACGGACACACUGGAACUGAGACACGGUCCAGACUCCUACGGGAGGCAGCAGUGGGGAAUUUUGGACAAUGGGGGAAAC